rnacentral:rRNA from 1 species
UGGGGAAUUUUGGACAAUGGGCGCAAGCCUGAUCCAGCCAUGCCGCGUGCAGGAUGAAGGCCUUCGGGUUGUAAACUGCUUUUGUACGGAACGAAAAGGUGCCUUCUAAUAAAGGGCGCUCAUGACGGUACCUUACGAAUAAGCACCGGCUAACUACGUGCCAGCAGCCGCGGUAAAACGUAGGGUGCGAGCGUUAAUCGGAAUUACUGGGCGUACAGCGUGCGCAGGCGGUUUUGUAAGACAGAGGUGAAAUCCCCGGGCUCAACCUGGGAACUGCCUUUGUGACUGCAAGGCUGGAGGGCGGCAGAGGGGGGUGGAAUUCCGCGUGUAGCAGUGAAAUGCGUAGAUAGGCGGAGGAACACCGAUGGCGAAGGCAAUCCCCUGGGCCUGUACUGACGCUCAUGCACGAAAGCGUUGGGAGCAAACA